rnacentral:rRNA from 1 species
CCUACGGUCGGCAGCAGUGAGGAAUAUUGGUCAAUGGGCGGAAGCCUGAACCAGCCAAGUAGCGUGCGGGAUGAAGGCCCUACGGGUCGUAAACCGCUUUUGCACGGGGAUAACACCCUCCACUUGUGGAGGUCUGCAGGUACCGUGCGAAUAAGGGCCGGCUAAUUCCGUGCCAGCAGCCGCGGUAAUACGGAAGGCCCGAGCGUUAUCCGGAUUCAUUGGGCUUAAGGGGAGCGUAGGCGGGCGUUCAAGUCAGCUGUAAAAUCGCGCGGCUCAACCGCGCCCCGCAGUUGAAACUGGACGCCUUGAGUUCACAACAGGCAGGCGGAAUUCGUGGUGUAGCGGUGAAAUGCAUAGAUAUCACGAGGAACCCCGAUUGCGAAGGCAGCCUGCCGGGGUGCGACUGACGCUGAGGCUCGAAGGUGCGGGUAUCAAACAGGAUUAGAUACCCCAGUAGUC